rnacentral:rRNA from 1 species
CGGAGGAUCCGAGCGUUAUCCGGAUUCAUUGGGUUAAAGGGUGCGCAGGCGGGACGCUAAGUCCGCGGUGAAGGUUCCGGCCCAACCGGGACACUGCCAUGGAUACUGGCGACCUAGAUCGAGGACGGCGCGGGUGGAACAUGUCAAGUAGCGGUGAAAUGCGUAGAUAUGACAUGGAACGCCGAUCGGGAAGCCGGCCCGCGAGACCUCCGAUGACGCUGAGGCACGAAAGCGUGGGGAUCAAACAGGAUU